rnacentral:rRNA from 1 species
AUUGCCCUAGUAACGGCGAGUGAAGCGGCAAUAGCUCAAAUUUGAAAUCCGGCAAAGCUCUAGGGUCCGAGUUGUAAUUUGUAGAGGGUGCUUUGGCACUGAUGGCGGUCUAAGUUCCUUGGAACAGGACAUCACAGAGGGUGAGAAUCCCGUAUGUGGUCGCUAAUCUUUGCCGUGUAAAGCCCCUUCAACGAGUCGAGUUGUUUGGGAAUGCAGCUCUAAAUGGGAGGUAAAUUUCUUCUAAAGCUAAAUAUUGGCCAGAGACCGAUAGCGCACAAGUAGAGUGAUCGAAAGAUGAAAAGCACUUUGGAAAGAGAGUCAAAAAGCACGUGAAAUUGUUGAAAGGGAAGCGCUUGCCGCCAGACUUGCCUGCAGUUGCUCACCUAGGCGUUCAGCCUGGGGCACUCUUCUGCAGGCAGGCCAGCAUCAGUUUGGGCAGCCGGAUAAAGGUCUCUGACACGUUCCUUCUACCUUUGUGUAGAUGGUCAUAUAGGGGAGACGUCAUGCGGUUAGCCCGGACUGAGGUCCGCGCAUUGCUAGGAUGCUGGCGUAAUGGCUGCAAGCGGCCCGUCUUGAAACACGGACCAAGGAGUCUAACAUCUAUGCGAGUGUUUGGGUGUCAAGCCCGAGCGCGCAAUAAACGUGAACGGAGGUGGGAACCCUCUUUUGGGGGUGCACCAUCGACCGAUCCUGAUGUCUUCGGAUGGAUUUGAGUAAGAGCAUAGCUGUUGGGACCCGAAAGAUGGUGAACUAUGCUUGAAUAGGGUGAAGCCAGAGGAAACUCUGGUGGAGGCUCGCAGCGGUUCUGACGUGCAAAUCGAUC